AAAGUCGUAACAAGGUUUCCGUAGGUGAACCUGCGGAAGGAUCAUUAAAGAGUUAGGGUCUUCUAGGCCCGACCUCCCAACCCUUUGUUUACUGAACCUCUGUUGCUUCGGCGGGCCCGUCUCACGACCGCCGGAGGAUCGCUGAAAGGCGUCCUCUGGUCAGCGUCUGCCGAUAGCCAACCAUUUCAAACUCUGAAUAAAUCAUGUCCUUACGUCUAAGUCUAUGAUUAAAUUAAAGCAAAACUUUCAACAACGGAUCUCUUGGUUCUG
rnacentral:misc_RNA from 1 species